AUCGCUUCUCGGCUCUUUUGAGCUAAGAUCAAGUGUAGUAUCUGUUCUUCUCAGUUUAAUGCCUGGGACGGAAACGAUUCGUUUCCUCUAUGUAUUAAUCGGAUUUUUGAACUUGGAGUAUGGUGCUGGAGCUUGCUCCACCCUGCUCACGGGUUGUCCUGGUAUUGCAGUACCUCCAGGUUCGGCUCACGUUUC
rnacentral:snRNA from 1 species